rnacentral:rRNA from 1 species
UACGUAGGGGGCAAGCGUUGUCCGGAAUUAUUGGGCGUAAAGAGCGCGUAGGCGGUCCGAUAAGUCGGCUGUGAAAGUCAGGGGCUCAACCCUUGGAAGCCGGCCGAUACUGUCGGACUAGAGUCCGGAAGAGGCGAGUGGAAUUCCCGGUGUAGCGGUGAAAUGCGCAGAUAUCGGGAGGAACACCGAUGGCGAAGGCAGGUCUCUGGGCCGAUACUGACGCUGAGGAGCGAAAGCGUGGGGAGCGAACAGG